GUGUUCACAUACUAUAAUAGCAUUACUGAAGCUUAGCUGUAGCAUCGCGCUGUCUCCCGGGAAUUCAGUUGGAGCAGGAAAAGGUAAACAGUAGUGUGCAGAUCGGAGCGUAGUGUGU